rnacentral:rRNA from 1 species
GAUGAACGCUGGCGGCGUGCCUAAUACAUGCAAGUCGAGCGAACAGACGAGGAGCUUGCUCCUCUGACGUUAGCGGCGGACGGGUGAGUAACACGUGGAUAACCUACCUAUAAGACUGGGAUAACUUCGGGAAACCGGAGCUAAUACCGGAUAACUUGUUGAACCGCAUGGUUCAACAGUGAAAGACGGUCUUGCUGUCACUUAUAGAUGGAUCCGCGCCGCAUUAGCUAGUUGGUAAGGUAACGGCUUACCAAGGCAACGAUGCGUAGCCGACCUGGGAGGGUGAUCGGCCACACUGGAACUGAGACACGGUCCAGACUCCUACGGGAGGCAGCAGUAGGGAAUCUUCCGCAAUGGGCGAAAGCCUGACGGAGCAACGCCGCGUGAGUGAAGAAGGUCUUCGGAUCGUAAAACUCUGUUAUUAGGGAAGAACAAAUGUGUAAGUAACUAUGCACGUCUUGACGGUACCUAAUCAGAAAGCCACGGCUAACUACGUG